rnacentral:rRNA from 1 species
UGGGGAAUAUUGCACAAUGGGCGCAAGCCUGAUGCAGCCAUGCCGCGUGUAUGAAGAAGGUCUUCGGGUUGUAAAGUACUUUCAGCGGGGAGGAAGGUGUUGUGGUUAAUAACCUCAGCAAUUGACGUUACCCGCAGAAGAAGCACUGGCUAACUCCGUGCCAGCAGCCGCGGUAAUACGGAGGGUGCAAGCGUUAAUCGGAAUUACUGGGCGUAAAGCGCACGCAGGCGGUCUGUCAAGUCGGAUGUGAAAUCCCCGGGCUCAACCUGGGAACUGCAUCCGAAACUGGCAGGCUUGAGUCUUGUAGAGGGGGGUAGAAUUCCAGGUGUAGCGGUGAAAUGCGUAGAGAUCUGGAGGAAUACCGGUGGCGAAGGCGGCCCCCUGGACAAAGACUGACGCUCAGGUGCGAAAGCGUGGGGAGCAAACA